rnacentral:rRNA from 1 species
UACGUAGGGGGCAAGCGUUGUCCGGAAUCAUUGGGCGUAAAGCGCGUGUAGGCGGCUCGGUAAGUCUGCUGUGAAAGUCCAGGGCUCAACCCUGGGAUGCCGGUGGAUACUGUCGAGCUCGAGUCCGGAAGAGGCGAGUGGAAUUCCUGGUGUAGCGGUGAAAUGCGCAGAUAUCGGGAGGAACACCAAUUGCGAAGGCAGCUCGCUGGGACGUUACUGACGCUGAGACGCGAAAGCGUGGGGAGCAAACAGG